CUCUCGGUUCCCUCGCGGGGGGAGAGACCCAAACUGCUGUGCUUGGACAGGGGCUGCGUCGAGGGAAAUACCAAUAGAGGCUACUGGGUUGUGUAACAGCCUCCAACAACUGAUAUGCAUGUGGUGAGGUCCCAGUUGAUCUAUAAGGGAAUAAACUUCUUGUGGAGCUAAAAGACUCAAGCAUGGCUAUAUUGCAUUUUCUUAUCUUGAGGAGGCAAGAAUGCUCAACACCUCUUAAAACCUGCUCUUCCAUAUCUGGAAAGAAGUUCAUAAAUAUUUCUGUCUCUGCAGACUGUGAUUUAGAUUGACCUGAAGCUGUGGCAUUUCUCAAAGAAAAAAAACAUUCAGAAAGAAGUCAUUUAGGAAGUUGGCUUCAAUAAUCUCAUGUUUCAAUAAAUUCAUAUUCCUUUCUGAUACAAAUACAGAUUUUGAGCUUAAUAUACUGAUGCAAAUUUUAAUAAAGUUUAAAAUAAGUCUAGUGAAAUGAUAGCUGAAAUAAAGCGCUAAUACUGGCAAAACGAAACACUUCAUAACAGGAAACCCAAGUCAAUUUGUUUCAAGAUUCUUACAUAAUUCUGAUAAUGUUUGAUAAAGUCUAGUAUUUGGACCUUUUUGAAUCACAGGUUUUCCCCAAAUUACCAUGCUUCCAUAAAAUGUUUAAAUAUCAGCAAAAUAUUCUGUAGCAGGAAUC